GCGGGUGUAGCUCAGUGGUAGAGCGUCACGUUGCCAACGUGAAUGUCGNNGGUUCAAAUCCGAUCACCCGCU
rnacentral:tRNA from 1 species